rnacentral:lncRNA from 1 species
UGGAAAUUGCUGCAGAAAAAGGGGGGUCACGAAUUCUGAAGAAUGAAGAAAGCAUAGAAAAAGUUCUGAGAUUUAUGGAAGUUGAAGGCUGGUAUGCAGCACUAUGGUUGUUUUACAGUUUGUUUUAUAGAACAGGCAAUUUUUUUGGGUCCUGGUGAUUGGUUGUAAUUUAUUUCUGCACUUUUGAGGGGAUUUUGGUAGCAAAUGAUAUCGAGUGUAAGGUUUGGCCUCCCAUGGCAUGUACCCCGACUCUGUAACUUCAUAACGAUAUAUGUAGGAGGU